GAUGAACGCUGGCGGCGUGCCUAAUACAUGCAAGUCGAGCGAACAGACGAGGAGCUUGCUCCUCUGACGUUAGCGGCGGACGGGUGAGUAACACGUGGAUAACCUACCUAUAAGACGGGGAUAACUUCGGGAAACCGGAGCUAAUACCGGAAAAUAUAUUGAACCGCAUGGUUCAAUAGUGAAAGACGGUUUUGCUGUCACUUAUAGAUGGAUCCGCGCCGCAUUAGCUAGUUGGUAAGGUAACGGCUUACCAAGGCAACGAUGCGUAGCCGACCUGAGAGGGUGAUCGGCCACACUGGAACUGAGACACGGUCCAGACUCCUACGGGAGGCAGCAGUAGGGAAUCUUCCGCAAUGGGCGAAAGCUUGACGGAGCAACGCCGCGUGAGUGAUGAAGGUCUUCGGAUCGUAAAACUCUGUUAUUAGGGAAGAACAAAUGUGUAAGUAACUAUGCACGUCUUGACGGUACCUAAGCAGAAAGCCACGGCUAACUACGU
rnacentral:rRNA from 1 species